rnacentral:misc_RNA from 1 species
CUCCGCCCCCGCCCGCCAGGGGCGGCGGGCCCUACGAACCUUUGUAUCUCAACCACUAGAAAACCGUCUGAGGAAAAAAACAAAAUAAUCAAAACUUUCAACAACGGAUCUCUUGGCUCUGGCAUCGAUGAAGAACGCAGCGAAAUGCGAUACGUAAUGUGAAUUGCAGAAUUCAGCGAACCAUCGAAUCUUUGAACGCACAUUGCGCCCGCCAGCAUUCUGGCGGGCAUGCCUGUCCGAGCGUCAUUUCCCCCCUCACGCGCCCCGUUGCGCGCUGGUGUUGGGGCGCCCUCCGCCUGGCGGGGGGCCCCCGAAAGCGAGUGGCGGGCCCUGUGGAAGGCUCCGAGCGCAGUACCGAACGCAUGUUCUCCCCUCGCUCCGGACGCCCCCCAGGCGCCCUGCCGUGAAAACGCGCAUGACGCGCAGCUCUUUUUACAAGGUUGACCUCG